CCUACGGGGGGCAGCAGUGAGGAAUAUUGGUCAAUGGGCGGAAGCCUGAACCAGCCAAGUAGCGUGCAGGAUGACGGCCCUACGGGUUGUAAACUGCGUUUAUACGGGAAUAACGCGCCUUACGUGUAGGGCUUUGCAUGUACCGUAUGAAUAAGGACCGGCUAAUUCCGUGCCAGCAGCCGCGGUAAUACGGAAGGUCCGGGCGUUAUCCGGAUUUAGUGGGGUGAAAGGGAGCGUAGGCCGCAUGUCAAGCGUGCUGUGAAAUGUCCGGGCUCAACCCGGGCCUUGCAGCGCGAACGGGCGUGCUUGAGUCCGCGGCCAGCAGGCGGAAUUCGUCUUGUAGCGGUUAACUGCUUAGCUAUGAC
rnacentral:rRNA from 1 species